GACGGAGGAUGCAAGUGUUAUCCGGAAUCACUGGGCGUAAAGCGUCUGUAGGUGGUUUAAAAAGUCCACUGUUAAAGGUUGAAGCUUAACUUCAAAAAUGCCGUGGAAACUUUUAAACUUGAGUAUGAUAGGGGUAGAGGGAAUUUCCAGUGGAGCGGUGAAAUGCGUAGAUAUUGGAAAGACCACCGAUGGCGAAGGCACUCUACUGGGCCAUUACUGACACUGAGAGGCGAAAGCUAGGGGAGCAAAUGGG
rnacentral:rRNA from 1 species